GAUUCGAAAGGUCCAAAUUUUAAAAUGGAAUAAUCUAAAAACUAUGCAAGGCGUUAUUAUCUUUAGCAACAGAUUUUCAAAGCUAGUGGGAGGCAUACGAAACAAAAUAUAAAAAAGUGUCGAUGAUAUCAAAGUGCUAGAAACCAUGGGAAUAUAAUAUACAUCCCUUUACUAUAAAAACCAUAAUAAUUAGAUCAUAUACUCCAACAAGUGAUUCACCAUCAAUCAAACUAAAUCCUUAAACAACAUUGAGGGGUUGCACAAAACAUGUGCUACCGUCUGGAAUGUGCAACAUGUGGAAAAUACACAUGGGGAGGGUGUGGUAAACACUUGACCACACUUUAUGGGAGUAUUGAUGAGGGAAUGCAUUGCAUGUGCCGCUCAUGGCCUGGCGUAGUUAUACCCUCCCAGCAACGCACAAACACAACCAGUAACCAAUCAUCAUCUUCUUCUAAUGGAAAUGAGGAUGCACAAAGUUCUUGAAGUUGUUUCCUAUCGAUGCUGAUCCGCAACAAAUAUAAUAACAAAGUGCUAAGGAUGAUUUGAUAUUAAUAAUAAUAAUAAUAACAAUAAUAAUGCAAUGUAGGAUUGGUUAUCGUGUUAUAAUGACCAACAUUUAUAACCUGUAUUAUUUUCUAUGUUAGAACUUAUUAAUAAAGAUGAAUUCAUUUUUUCUUGUCAA